AAGCUUAGGAUUAAACCAAACCAAGGGCCUUCAAAGCCCUAAACAGGGGUUAUACUCCCCUAGCUUCU
rnacentral:tRNA from 1 species